GCAGUCGUGGCCGAGUGGUUAAGGCGGUGGACUAGAAAUCCAAUGGGAUCUCCCCGCACAGGUUUGUAUCCUGUCGACAACG
rfam:Ixodes scapularis strain Wikel colony gcontig_1108378250266, whole genome shotgun sequence.